AACCCCCAUAUCCCCUCAAUCACAUGAUCACACACAAACGCACCUUAUAAAGUUAUUCUUCUUUACAUUAUUAUUUUGGGAGGGGAACCUGUGAGAUCAGAGAAAGAGAAACGGGAAUUUCACUCCCAACUCGUCGUUCAAGUUUCAUCCCAAAACCCCAAAAUUACCCCUUAAUAGCCGCAAUACAGUCACGAAAUUACUCCCAACUCGUCGUUUCAAUUGCUGAAAUUUCAGAACUCCGGGAUUAUUAUUUUAGCUGUUGAGCCGAGGUUGCUGUUUGGAAGUCUUUGGCCGCGGUCUAGUUUUUUCGGCUGAAAUUCCGUUGUUCGGAAUAUUCUGUCUUCUUUUACUUCGUCAAUAAAGGUCCUUUCUCUUGUUCUUUACUUUAUUCAAUAUUCUCAAUCUCCUAUUUUGGAUUUAUAAAAGGCAUGUGAUAUGUUUGCUACAUUCUAGCCCUUCUGUGUUUCUUUGUAAAAUUGAUUGACAUGUUAGAGUUUAUUCUUAGGUGGUAAAGUCACGUAAGGAUUAGAAUUUGGAUCUUUAGUUUAUUCUCAUAAUUUUGUUAACUUGGUAUUUCAAGUUUGAGAUGAUAGAUAGUUUAAUGGAUAGAACUUUCCUUUAUGUGGGUUUGAUUUGGAACUAACUAAUUAAAGUUUAUAUUUUUAUUCAGUUGAUUCACCUUUUGCACUAAAUAUUUACUGAUGGUUAUCAUUAUGUGUUUAUUUGAGUUGUCCGAUUAUUCAUCUACACUGUUAUUAAAAAGGAAUAAAGAGAAGUUCUUUCCAUGGGGUCAAUGGCUUUGUAAUAUAAUUAGGGUUUGGUACGUCCCUUUUAAGUGAUAAUUGAAUCUAUAAGUGUAGACGACUUGUGAAUAAUACUAAAUAGUUAAAUUUUACACUUCUUUCACAAUUUCAUAUUCAUAAAUCAUGGCCUCACAAUAAUUUCAAACAAGCUUAAGAAAUUAAUCAACUCACAAAAGCGUUAGAAUGUUUUAGGCGUACUUUUAAUUAAUCAAAUCAUCAUGAUUAUGUAUACGUCCGCGUGACAUAGUUAUAAUUUUCCAAAUUAAAGGUAAAGUAUGCGUUUGCGCGACUUUGACAAAACAAUCUUAAAAAUAAUAAAGUGUUAUUAAUUGUGUACACGUACGCGUGACAUGAUUCUUGACACACUAAACAAAACGAAUACACGUGCGCAUGAUUCGUUUCAAGAUGAUUUCAUAAUUACAAAUAAUCAAGUAAUUAGAAGCGGUUUAAGGCAAAAUUGCAUAAAUUUCCCUAGAACAUUAAAAUAUCCAGAAUUAGUUAAGCCGGAUAUAAAUAUUAAAGCAACCGUAUUAGAACCAUGGAACUCGGGAGUGACUCGCACCUUCUUCCGGGUUAACAAAAUUUCUUACCCGAUCUUCUGUGUUUCGCAGACUUAAACAUAGUCAAUUUUCUUGAAUUGGGAUUUUAAAAUAAAUGGUGACUUGAAACACCGUAAAUAUUAUUCCAAGUGGCGACUCUUUAAAAAUAAAAUAAAUUAAUCCCUUUUCAACUAAUGUCACUUAAAUUGAAAAAACUCCUCCCUUUCCUCGUAAAAAAAGAGGCGUGACAAUUAUCAGUCCUGAGUGUUUGAACUUUGGCAUGGAACUGGGUUGAAACCAUUGCAAUAAUGGCUUUGAUAACUGAAAAGGCAUUGCUCUUGCAAGAUAAUAGGUGGGUCCAAGUGACUCUGCUACAGUCAUCUACAAUGGUUAAGAGGUAUCUGAAACUAUUGUAGGUAAUUGUAUGGUAAAGGCCCCAAAGAUCAACAUGGACAAGCUGGAAAGGG
rnacentral:lncRNA from 1 species